rnacentral:rRNA from 1 species
UGCCGGUGGUUUGGCUAAGGGGAUCCACCUGUUCUCAUCCCGAACACAGAAGUUAAGCCCUUAUACGCCGACAGUA